CAUCAGCAGAGCAGAAUCAACCCCCGAGGUCUGUGCCCUUUCCACAGUGGCACAGUUGCUACUUAAGGCCGCGUCUUAACGUCAGCCUGAGCCGAGCGUGGUUAGACCAAACAAACAUCAGAGGCUACCCAGCCGGCCUGACAAGCCCUCGGUGUUAUCAAAGCAGGUGCCAAUGUCAAGCUGAACCAGAGCAGUUGGAGAGCGUGAGACCCUGAAGAGCAGUCCUCCCACCAGCCCCACCAGCCCAGCACGCGCUCACAAUUCCUCUUCCCGCUCCCAGCACCAUGAAACUUUUAGCAUCUGCCUCUUCCCCUCAGCGCCCCAAGGAAAAAAAAUCUCUCAGUGAAGAAGACGAAUCUCCCUUCCUCUUGACUGGCAGGGGCUCCCAGAGGACUCAGCACAGCAGGAAAGAGGUCUCUGAAUUUCUUGAUCAAAGAACACGGGAAUUGCAUUCAUGUGGCUAUAAAGGUUGAACUCAUUCCAAAUGCUUUCACUCUCCCCUCUUUGACUCAGUCCAGACUCCCUACCAAAUCUGCUCUUUGGUGAUACUUAAUAAAGAUACAGUCAUCCUUGGGGGGAAACGGUUGAAAGCGCUGACUCAUUCUCCCAUGGUGUCUUUCCUUCAUCUUCCCUGACUAAUCAGA